rnacentral:rRNA from 1 species
GACGAACGCUGGCGGCGUGCCUAAUGCAUGCAAGUCGCACGGGCGACCCUCGGGUCGUCAGUGGCGCACGGCUGAGUAACACGUUGGUAUCGACCCCUCGGUGGGGGACAACGCCGCGAAAGCGGCGCUAAUCCCGCAUGUGCUCCCUUACGGGAGGAAAGCCGCAAGGCGCCGAGGGCCGAGCCUGCGGCCCAUCAGGUUGUUGGUGCGGUAAUGGCGCACCAAGCCGGUGACGGGUAGCUGGUCUGUGAGGACGACCAGCCAGACUGGGACUGAGACACGGCCCAGACUCCUACGGGAGGCAGCAGCAAGGAAUUUUCGGCAAUGGGCGCAAGCCUGACCGAGCAACGCCGCGUGCAGGAUGACGGCCUUCGGGUUGUAAACUGCUUUUGCUGAGGACGACAUCGACGGUACUCGGCGAAUCAGCCCCGGCUAACUCUGUGCCAGCAGCCGCAGUAAAAC